rnacentral:rRNA from 1 species
AUUGAACGCUGGCGGCAGGCCUAACACAUGCAAGUCGAACGAGUGGCGGACGGGUGAGUAAUGUCUGGGAAACUGCCUGAUGGAGGGGGAUAACUACUGGAAACGGUAGCUAAUACCGCAUACCAUCGGAUGUGCCCAGAUGGGAUUAGCUAGUAGGUGAGGUAAAGGAUAACCUAGGCGACGAUCCCUAGCUGGUCUGAGAGGAUGACAAGCCACACUGUAACGGAGACACGGUCCAGCAUCCUACGGGAGGCAGCAGUGGGGAAUAUUGCACAAGUGGCGCAAGCCUGAUGCAGCCAUGCCGCGUGUAUGAAGAAGGCCUUCGGGUUGUAAAGUACUUUCAGCGGGGAGGCGUUACCCGCAGAAGAAGCACCGGCUAACUCCGUGCCAGCAGCCGCGGUAAUAC